UACGGAGGGUGCAAGCGUUAUCCGGAUUUACUGGGUUUAAAGGGUGCGUAGGUGGGCCUGUAAGUCAGUGGUGAAAUCUUCAAGCUUAACUUGGAAACUGCCAUUGAUACUAUAGGUCUUGAAUUAUCUGGAGGUAAGCGGAAGUAUGUCAUGUAGCGGUGAAAUGCUUAGAGAUGACAUAGAACACCCAUUGCGAAGGCAGCUUACUACGGAUUGAUUGACACUGAGGCACGAAGGCGUGGGGAUCAAACAGG
rnacentral:rRNA from 1 species